rnacentral:misc_RNA from 1 species
CAAAUCUCAAGAUGGUUUUCGUGAUGUUGACCGUGGGGCAAGUAGCUCAGUUUCUGUUGAUGCACCUCAAAGAAAUGUUGUUGAAUUGUUGAGCAGUGGCGGUAACCAGUUCCCUGAGGAUGUUAACUCUUGUCAUGAUGUUGGAUCUCAUGUUACUGCCAGCAUUGGAAGUGCCAAAGUUGCAGUUGAAGUUGAAGAGCUAACAAAGGAGUUGCAGUGCACUGCUGAGUCGAGCAAAGUUUCUUUGGUGCCACAACUUGAUGGUCACUUAUUAGCGGAUAUCACAAGAGUUGAUGAUCCUGAGGCUGAACCACAUAAAUAUGCAAGUUUGCAUUCGCUGACUAUGCCUAACCUUCCAGUUCACGGCAAAACGAAGGAAAAGAAGAAAGACAAAGGAAAGAAACGAAAGCUGGAGGGGCGCAAAGAUGACCCAGAGUACUUGGAGCGGAAAAGGUUAAAGAAGGAGAAGAAACGGAAGGAGAAGGAGUUAGCAAAGAUGACCCAGAGUACUUGGAGCGGAAAAGGUUAAAGAAGGAGAAGAAACGGAAGGAGAAGGAGUUAGCAAAGAUUUUGAAAGACGAGGCAAAGGCUUCCACAUCCUUGGAGAGUCGGAGGAAGAAUGAGCAGCGAGGCACCAAAGCAGAGACAAUCAGGAAUGAUCAUAAGCUAAGUUUAGUAGAGCAAGAAGAUGGUAGAAAAGAUGAAGCUGAACCCAGACAAGUGGUGAAUGGUGCAGAGGCGAAGGCAACAUCUUCAGGCUUGUCUGGUAGAAACGAGGAUAUCGGGGCUAAAGGAGCAAGCUUGCAAUUGAAACCCGGGGGCUCUAGUGGGGUGAUGUUAAAUGUAGAUAGAGGCGAUACGAGUCUAAAUGCUGCGCCACCUACUUCUUCACAUAAGUUCAAAAUCAGGAUUAAAAACCGAACGCUUGGUAAAUCAUGAUUUGUGUAGUAAAUAAAUUUCCUUGUCGAAAUAGGUAAUUUGUUUUCUAUAUGUACUAUUCAUGUGUAGAUUUUGUAUCAUGCAAG